UGGCGGCAGGCCUAACACAUGCAAGUCGAACGAACUCUUCGGAGUUAGUGGCGGACGGGUGAGUAACACGUGGGAACGUGCCUUUUGGUUCGGAAUAACUCAGGGAAACUUGUGCUAAUACCGAAUGUGCCCUUCGGGGGAAAGAUUUAUCGCCAUUAGAGCGGCCCGCGUCUGAUUAGCUAGUUGGUGAGGUAAAGGCUCACCAAGGCGACGAUCAGUAGCUGGUCUGAGAGGAUGAUCAGCCACAUUGGGACUGAGACACGGCCCAAACUCCUACGGGAGGCAGCAGUGGGGAAUCUUGCGCAAUGGGCGAAAGCCUGACGCAGCCAUGCCGCGUGAAUGAUGAAGGUCUUAGGAUUGUAAAAUUCUUUCACCGGGGACGAUAAUGACGGUACCCGGAGAAGAAGCCCCGGCUAACUUCGUGCCAGCAGCCGCGGUAAUACGAAGGGGGCUAGCGUUGCUCGGAAUUACUGGGCGUAAAGGGAGCGUAGGCGGACAUUUAAGUCAGGGGUGAAAUCCCGGGGCUCAACCUCGGAAUUGCCUUUGAUACUGGGUGUCUUGAGUAUGAGAGAGGUGUGUGGAACUCCGAGUGUAGAGGUGAAAUUCGUAGAUAUUCGGAAGAACACCAGUGGCGAAGGCGACACACUGGCUCAUUACUGACGCUGAGGCUCGAAAGCGUGGGGAGCAAACAGGAUUAGAUACCCUGGUAGUCCACGCCGUAAACGAUGAUUGCUAGUUGUCGGGAUGCA
rnacentral:rRNA from 1 species